rnacentral:ncRNA from 1 species
AAAAUAAGUGCUAUAUCAAUAGCCAAACAUAUUUUUGCUUUUCCGAGUAGUGCCUCUUAUUGAGGCACUUUUU